CCUACGGGUGGCAGCAGUGAGGAAUAUUGGUCAAUGGGCGGGAGCCUGAACCAGCCAAGUCGCGUGAGGGAAGACGGUCCUAUGGAUUGUAAACCUCUUUAGGCGGGGAGCAAUGCCGGGCACGUGUGCCCGGAGGGAGAGUACCCGCAGAAUAAGCAUCGGCUAACUCCGUGCCAGCAGCCGCGGUAAUACGGAGGAUGCGAGCGUUAUCCGGAUUUAUUGGGUUUAAAGGGUGCGCAGGCGGGCUGUUAAGCCGGCGGUAAAAAUUCAGGGCUCAACCUUGUCGAGCCGUCGGAACUGGCAGUCUUGAGUGGGCGAGAAGUAUGCGGAAUGCGUGGUGUAGCGGUGAAAUGCAUAGAUAUCACGCAGAACUCCGAUUGCGAAGGCAGCAUACCGGCGCUCAACUGACGCUCAUGCACGAAAGUGUGGGUAUCGAACAGGAUUAGAUACCCGAGUAGUC
rnacentral:rRNA from 1 species